UCCGGUUUGUCACCGGCAGUCCCAUUAGAGUGCCCAACUGAAUGUGGCAACUAAUGGCAAGGGUUGCGCUCGUUGCGGGACUUAACCCAACAUCUCACGACACGAGCUGACGACAGCCAUGCAGCACCUGUGUCCAGGUUCCCUUUCGGGCACCCUCACAUCUCUGCGAGGUUCCUGGCAUGUCAAGGGUAGGUAAGGUUCUUCGCGUUGCGUCGAAUUAAACCACAUGCUCCGCUGCUUGUGCGGGUCCCCGUCAAUUCCUUUGAGUUUUAACCUUGCGGCCGUACUCCCCAGGCGGUCAACUUCACGCGUUAGCUUCGUUACCAAGGAAUUACUUCCCCGACAACCAGUUGACAUCGUUUAGGGCGUGGACUAC
rnacentral:misc_RNA from 1 species